ensembl:lncRNA
GUAUACAUUCCUGAUGCUUUUAAAGUUUUCCAGAAACGCUCUAGUAGCAAGUAACAUUCCAAUUGAGAACCUUGUUCUUUAUUAUACAUUAAAAUAUCAAAUAAAUGUUUUUUUUGCCCUUUUCUGAAUUUUACUGCUUACUGGUAUGCACACUGUUUUCAUUCUUCAUUCAUCAUUCUUAACAAUCUUGUGUCCUUGGGCCGUAGUAUCCAUAGUUGGCCGAGUUUGUAUGAUUGAAUGGUGCUGAUGUUUGAGAACUUUCUUCUUCCGAAGAUGAUGAUGAUAUAAAAACUAGAAUUUUAAAUGUUCUUCAUCAGCCUGUAAAUGCUUUAAAAUGUCCACUUGUAUAUCGUCAAGGUUACUAAUACCUUGUGUCAACCUCUCACUAAAUAUGACAUUUCACAGAUGCAAAAAUACAGCCCAGGUUGAAUGAGAUUUGGUCAACGUAAACCAACUGUUAGUGACACAGUCAGGACUAGAGCCUGUGUCUCUGACUCAAAGUACUUCUUGGAACUUUCUGAGUUAAAAACAGUCUUCCUUUUCCUUCAGGUUAAAAUACUUCAAGCCACCGGCUUACCACAGCAUCUGUCCCACUUUGUAUUCUGCAAAUACAACUUCUGGGAUCAACAGGAGCCGGUAAUUGUUGCACCUGAGGUGGAUACCUCAUCCUCUCCUGUCAGCAAGGAACCUCAGUGCAUGGUUGUCUUUGAUCAGUGCAAUGUAAGUGUGUUUUCCAGACUGGGGCAGCGUUUAAUUACUCAGGUCAAAACAAAAAACAACCCAUAUUUUGUUGAGUAAUUUGGUACCAGUCUGUGUCUUGGAUCAGUUUUUUAGAGUGGGGUUGGAGUCAAAGACUAAAGUGCCAUCAACACACUGUAUGUACAUGUUAAACUUACACAACGUUAUAUGUCAAUUAUAUCUUUGUAAGCCUGGGGGAAAAAGCAAAACUAUAGUGUCAGUGCAUGUAACUCCUCCAGCAUCAAAAGUUAACUUUUGUGUGACUAUAUGUACAUAUGUCUCCUCUUCUCCAGAAGGAAUCCAUGUUUUGUAUGAGUUACUGGAGAAACUGUCAUCUGGGAAGGUUAGGAAACUAGUGUUUUAGAGAAAGUGAAGAUAGAAGGGAGACACGAACUAGCAUUGUGGAGCCCCUAAUGUUCUGUUCAGCACUUUGUGAUUCUUUCAUUUGCUCUUUCCCACAGUUGUAUUUGAUGACAGUGCUUUUUUUAGCUGAAGAAGUCGGUUCAGAGGUCAUUUGCCCAUGGCUAGUAACUAGCAGAGCCGGGACUGUCAGAUUCUAAAUUCUCUUUUUCUACUUUAUCUCACUUGAGCCAUCUCAUUUUUUUUUUUUCGAGAGAGGUCUCUUUCUAAUCUGUUUAAAACAGAAAUACUUUUGUUGUGCUAAAGAUUGAGAGAGAGAGAGAUUCUAUGACUUUUUAAAAUAAACUUUUUUAGAGCUUAAUCCUAAUUAUUGCAAGAGGCUGUUUUACAUCUAUCGUACAAAGAUGGACAGAUAGGAGAAUUUUUUUAAAAUAGGUGAUUAUUUGCACUGAUGAUCAGUAUUUAUUUCCUUUCUCUCUCAUUAUUGGAGAUAGUUAACUUCCUAAAAACUGGAAAAAAAUUGUUUUUCCAACACACUGCUGCCUUACUGGAUGUAAUAACUUUUAUAUCAAGAUGUAGAUCAUUGUUGUCAUUCUUAAUAUAAUUAUUUAUACUUUCAAAAAUAGCUCCCAACAUAUUGCUAACAAAAUAGAAUACAGUGCUGGUCUUUCACAAUAGAUUUUCAAGGUGAAAAGUUUUUUAAAAAUCAGAGUUAAGAACCUUGGGCCAUCUGAGCAUUCAUUAUGGGUGUUGGAUGACAGUUUUGUCCUAUGGCUAAAACAUUCUAUUUCUCUUCUCCAUAAUGAAGUGAGGAUAUGUCAGGUGUAAGUAAUUGUAAGGUCACCAGAAGGUGUUUUCUUCUUCUGUACUUACUUCCUUUCAGGAAUUUUCUGUUGGCAUCACUGAAGACUUUAUUGAGCAUCUUUCAGAAGGGGCUUUGGCAAUUGAAGUCUAUGGCCAUAAGAUGAAUGAUCCUCGGAAAAACCCAACCCUGUGGGAUUUGGGGAUUAUCCAAGCAAAAACACGCAGCCUUCGGGACAGGUGAAUUUUAGAUAUCCAUCUGAUUCCAUUUAUAAUUUUAAAAAAUUGCUAGAGAUUAAUAUUGUCAUUUAUAAAGGUUACCCCUUCCUGAGCAUUACCAGUAUUCCAGUAAUAGUUGGUGUUAUGUCCACGGUAUUAACAGCACAGUUAAACUUCCUUGAAGAAGUGAACUUUGAAGAGUGAUGGGAAAAAGUUAAGAAAUAGGUAGUUAAGAAUAAAGUGUGAAAUGAAUUUUGGGAGAAUAGGCUGCUUAUCAUUAUGAAAUACUUCUAAUUAAUCAUCUGUAGAGAAAAUAGAUCAAGAUAUACUCUGGAAUUCAGGUUUACAUGUUUUUUUUAAAAAAAUUAAUUAUUUUUGGCUGUGUUGGGUCUUCGUUAUAGCGUGCGGGCUUUCUCUAGUUGUGGUGAGCGGGGGCUACUGUUCGUUGCGGUGCGCGGGCUUCUCAUUGCGGUGGCCUCUUUUGUUGUGGAGCACUGGCUCGGCAUGCAGGCUUCAGUAGUUGUGGCACUCAGGCUCAGUAGUUGUGGCUCGUGGGCUCUAGAGCACAGGCUCAGUAGUUGUGGCGCACGGGCUUAGUUGCUCCACAGCAUGUGGGAUCCUCCUGGACCAGGGCUCGAACCCGUGUCCCCUGCAUUGGCAGGUGGACUCUUAAUCACUGCACCACCAGGGAAGUCCCUUACUUAUUCUAUCUUUAGCUCAAAGUUCUUUUCAAGUAGCAUUAAUCAUGGAAGGAGGAAGGCUUACUUGUUGACCAGGAUUUUAAACAGAAGAGUUAAAAGGAAAAGACUGAAAGAGCAUAUAUUUGUACUGCAUCUAAUUAUAGAUGAGAAGCAGAUUUUCUUCUUUUUUUUGUAUUUAGAAAGUUUUACCAAAUACUAAAUUAGACAUUGGGAUUUUUUUUUUUUGAUUCUCUUACUGACCUCAGCAGAGAUACUUGUCAAGUCACUAAAGCAUACAGCACUACCUUGGCUGUAUGAAAAGCUAAUCACUGCAACUUAUUUCUGUACUUCUGAUAACAAUGUUUAAAUUUUUGAAUAACCACUUUGAAAUAGAUUUCUAAUUAUCAUACCUUUUUGAAUGAAAUAAAGGCAUCAUUUUUAGUUCUGAUGUUGUUUGUUGAACUUUGCUUUUAAUUACAUUUGCCAGUAUGUAUUUGUGUAUUACUCACUGAACUACAGAUAAUUCUACUGAGUUAUUCUGUUUGGAGGUUAUUUUCAUCAUUAAUUCUCAUGUGUAGGAUCCUAAGCUGCCAGUAUUGAAAUAGAAAUGUAUGAUUUUCCAAGAACUUCAACUAUUUCCUAGAUGGAGCGAAGUCACCAGGAAAGUGGAAUUCUGGGUUCAAAUCUUGGAACAGAAUGAGAAUGGUGAAUACUGCCCUGUAGAGGUAAUUCCUGCAAAGGACGUGCCAACAGGUGGAAUCUUCCAACUCCGGCAGGUAAUGAAAUUUUUAAUGUUAAUAUUGAAUUCUUUGGUGUCGUAAAGGUUAAUAUUGGAUUCCUUUUAGCAGAAACAUCAGGGAUAAUGAAAUCUAGAUUGGCCAAGACCACUUAUUAAAGUUUUCUCUCCCUUCAUGUGUAUUUUCUUUCAUUUUCAAAAAUAAAGCUGUUUACAGUAUUUAAAACCAGCUUCUGUGAAGUUUAAGUAAGAAAAAGAUAAGCUUUGGGGACUCCCCUAGUGGCACAGUGGGUAAGACUUGCGCUCCCAGUGCACAGGGGUUCCGGGUUCAAUCCCUGGUCAAGGGAACUAGAUCCCACAUGCAUGCCGCAACUAAGGAGCCAGCAAGCUGCAACUAAGGAGCCAGCAAGCCGCAACAAGGAGCCCAUGUGCUGCAACUAAGGAGCCCACCUGCUGCAACUAAGACCCAGUGCGACCAAAUAAAUAUUUUUUUUAAAAAAAGAAAAAGAUAAGCUUUAAAGUGACUUAGAAUUGAACUGUAGGAAAUAAAACAAACGUAUCAAGCAGCAUUAGAACAUUUAUAAAGACAAGGAGAGGCUGUGUGACAUGGCAGAAAGAACAAGCACUUCAGAGUCUAACGUUCUGGGGUUUGGUUCUGGCUGUCCCAUGGCCUAGCUGUAUAUCCGUGAGCAAGUUCAGUCACCUCCUGGAACCUUUCCUCAGGUGUAAAGUGGAGCGGUUUGAUAACACCAACUUUGUAGGGUUAUUGUGAGGAUUAGAAAUACUGUAUAUGAGGCUUCCCUGGUGGCACAGUGGUUGAGAGUCCACCUGCCGAUGCAGGGGACACGGGUUCGUGCCCCGGUCUGGGAGAAUCCCACAUGCUGUGGAGCGGCUGGGCCCGUGAGCCAUGGCAUCUGAGCCUGUGCGUCCGGAGCCCCUGCUCUGCAACGGGAGAGGCCACAACAGUGAGAGGCCCGCGUACCGCAAAAAAAGAAAUACUAUAUGGAGCCCAGUGCUUGAUACAUGGGAGAUGAGAAGUGUUUUUCCCUCUGAUGCCCACCAGUUCUCUGCUUCUCUGCAGGCACCAACUGGGUGUCUUGUAAUUCAGUUCAGUUUGGACCCUAACUACCCAGAGCGAGCAUCAUACUCCACAGGUUUAAGGGCCCAGACUUACACAGGACUGCCCUCACUUCAGACGCCAGCUGCAAGUAUCAGGGCCCCAGGUCACCCACAUUUCUGUCCUACUUGGCUACAGUUGAGGGUUCCCGCAACUCUCAGGUUUCAUAGUUUACUGGAAUGACUCACAAAACUCAGGAAAGCCCUUUGCUUACUGUUACCAGUUUACUGUAAAAGAUACAACUCAGGAACAGCCAAGCGGAAGAGCUGCAUGGGGUAAGGUGUGGAGGAAGGAUGAGGAGCUGCCAUGUGCCCUUCGCUGCGCCAGCUUCCCAGCACCUGACGUGUUCACCAGCCAGGAAGCUCUAACCCCAUCGUUAGUAGGUUUUUACGUAGGCGUGGUGGAUGACAGUGCUGGCCUUCGGUGAUUAACCCCAUCUCCAGCCCCUUUUGUCUCUCUCCCUGAGGUUUUGGCGUAGGGCUGAAAGUUCCAACCUUCUGAUCAAGGCUUGGUCUUCCUGGUGACCAGCCCCAAUCCUGGAACCACCUAGGGAUCUGCCUAGAGUGACCAAAUGAAGAGUCACAUCGUUAAAAGACGCACCUAUCACCUUUAUCAUUAAGGAAAUUCCAAGAGUUUUAGGAGCUCUGUGCCAGGAACUGAGGACAAAGACCAAAUAUCUUUUCUAUCUUUCUUAACACGUUAGGUAAAUAGGACACGUUAAGUAAAUGCAGCUAGGUAGAUGUGAAUACCUGCCAGAAACCAAUACAGCAGAGACACGUGUGGGACUUGUCACUUAACCCCAGACAGAUGUGAUCUGUAGUAUCUGUGCUGCAAAUUAAAGAUGAGAGAGAGUAUCUUAAUGGAAUUUACAUGUAAGACUUAGAAAUACUCUUGUUUGCUAUUCUUUACGUGAAAUCAACAUUUAGUAGAAUAUUAUUGCCUGUGAUAGUUUCCAUACUUUAAAACAGUAGUAAAAUAUUAGAAUGGCUCAAGAAAAUGAAUGUUGAAAUCAUUCAAAGC